UAAUACGGAGGGUGCAAGCGUUAUCCGGAUUUACUGGGUUUAAAGGGUGCGUAGGCGGAUUAGUAAGUCCGUGGUGAAAUCCCCGAGCUUAACUUGGGAACUGCCGUGGAUACUAUUAGUCUUGAAUAUCGUGGAGGUAAGCGGAAUAUGUCAUGUAGCGGUGAAAUGCUUAGAUAUGACAUAGAACACCAAUUGCGAAGGCAGCUUACUACACGUUCAUUGACGCUGAGGCACGAAAGCGUGGGGAUCAAACAGGAUUAGAUACCCUGGUAGUCCACGCCCUAAACGAUGAUCACUCGACAUCAGCGAUAUACUGUUGGUGUCUGAGCAAAAGCAUUAAGUGAUCCACCUGGGAAGUACGAUCGCAAGAUUG
rnacentral:rRNA from 1 species